GGGUUUGUAUAUCAAAUGAAAAAGUUACAUAAUGAGAAAGAUGUUCUCGAUACACGGAAAAAUCUACCAAAAAACCAACUAUAUAAAAAAAAUUGGAAAAACAUAAAAAUUGAAGGUUAGAAAGUAGUAUCAGUAUAUACCAUACCAUACGAAAACACAGAUUGCUCCCAACCAAGAACCAGCGGAGCGUAGAAACACAUCACUGUCAUGCCUUGGUUCGAGGCUGCUUCCUUCUUUUUUUUUUUGCUAAAGGGUAAAUAUCAUUAGAGGAUAAUGAAAAUCCGGUUACAAGUUAUAGAACAUUGAAACCAAGAGAUGCUUUUCAGCUUAUCAGGUUUAUGGAACCGCAAAAAGUUUAAAAAAGCCCCAUAGAACCUACAAAGAUUAACACCAAGCAACCCAAACAAUGGCUUACUUAAGUUAAUAUUACAUUGAAGCACAAAGACAGCAUUUUAAACUCCCAUACCAAAGCGCUUCCUGUUCUACUGGUUUGAAACACAGAGCAGGAGAAUAACCUGAAGACGAGUUCGAUCGAACCUCACCGAAGUGGCUCCUAGCAGGCAUCGACGGAAGCGCCUGGCUCACGCCCCGGAGCUCCGCUGGAGGAAGACGUCGACAAACAAGCCCAAGUUAACACAGAGGAUGACGAUAGUGUAAACCCACUGCUACACCACUGAAGAUGAAGAUCGCGGUCAAGCGCAGUCGGUCGUUUUGGCCCCUCAUUCCGCUGCGCGACACAGAAGAUGCGGCGGAGACAGCAGAGUUACAUAUCGCAAUCGACCGGGAGCUUUGGAAUGGGAAAUGAAGCACAGAGGGAGCACGGAACUCCUUGAAGCAGGUGACCUGAAGGCGAAAGAAAACAUCGCUCUUUCCGCAAGAGACGUCGACGUCGAGGGUUGUCCUCAAGACCCUAGUAAAAGACGAUGAAAGCAGGAAAGGGGAGCUAACCAUUCGCUGAGGAACACCAUGGAAGCCGUCGUUUGAGCUACAGAAACAGAGGUCCUCGGUGGUGCGCCUCACAACCACCUUUCACUCAGAGAGAGGAGGAGCUCUACGCAAACCCUGGAGCUAACUGCUAGAAAAGACCGACUGGGGCGAGACGACAGAGCAGAGGCGUGGACGGCAGUGACGCGUCGAAGCUUCUGGCGAAUCUCGGAUCUCAGAUCUGACCCAGAUCCAAGCGCAAUCAGCGACUAAGAGUAGAUCCAGGGCUCCCAGAGCCAUCACCGACUCGUCUCGCCUCGCUGGUGGUCCAGAGGAAUCAAAGACCCUUCGAUUCCAGUUAGAUCCGGCGGAAAAAUCUCAUCGGACCCAGACACACUGAGCAAAGAGGAGAGACAAAAGAAGAGAUAGCAGAGGACGGAAGGCGAUGACAAACGGCUGGAGAGGGAGACCAACGGCGAGAGGUGCCGUCGGCCGUCUUGACCAUCAUAUAUUAAUACCAUGCUCACUUUCGAGGAUUUAAAUGUAUUGUUCUUGUUUACUCAUAUGCUUUUGGUCAUUUAUAUACUGCAUAUAUUUAUUUUCAAACAUCCCAAAAAAAAAAUCUGAAAAAAUCACGAGUGUUUUAUUUGGAGACAAUUAGGAAAAAUAGCCUCAUGAGAAAAGGAAAUUGGGAAACUACAUACGACAAGACGUAAUUGAAGAACACAAUACCAUUAGUCGCGUAAGAGUACGAUACUACCCAUAAUCCAUUGUACAAGAGACAGUUAGUGUAUUGCCGUCAGACAGUAGAAAGCUGAAAAAUAAGUUGUAGCUUAGUUGUAAC
rnacentral:lncRNA from 1 species